rnacentral:rRNA from 1 species
GAUGAACGCUGGCGGCGUGCUUAACACAUGCAAGUCGAACGGAAAGGCUCCUGCUUGCAGGGGUACUCGAGUGGCGAACGGGUGAGUAACACGUGGGUGAUCUGCCCUGCACUUCGGGAUAAGCCUGGGAAACUGGGUCUAAUACCGGAUAGGACGAUGGUUUGGAUGCCAUGGUGGAAAGAUUUUCGGUGUGGGAUGUGCUCGCGGCCUAUCAGCUUGUUGGUGGGGUAAUUGCCUACCAAGGCGGCGGCGGGUAGCCGGCCUGGGAGGGUGGACGGCCACCUUGGGACUGGGAUACGGCCCAGACUCCUACGGGGGGCAGCAGUGGGGAAUAUUGCACAAUGGGCGCCAGCCUGAUGCAGCGGCGCCGGGUGGGGGAUGACGGCCUUCGGGUUGUAAACUCCUUUCGCUAGGGACGAAGCGUUUUGUGACGGUACCUGGAGAAGAAGCACCGGCUAACUACGUG